rnacentral:rRNA from 1 species
CUGGCGGCGUGCUUCAUACAUGCAAGUCGAACGAGAAGUCACCUUCGGGUGAUGGAAAGUGGCGGACGGGUGAGUAAUGUGUAGAGAAUCUGCCCUUUAGCGGGGGACAACAGUUGGAAACGACUGCUAAUACCCCAUAUGCGCGUAGCUGAGAUGCUAUUCGUGAAAACUCCGGUGCUAAAGGAUGAGUCUGCAUCUGAUUAGCUAGUUGGCGGUGUAAUGGACCACCAAGGCGACGAUCAGUAGCUGGUUUGAGAGGAUGAUCAGCCACAAUGGGACUGAGACACGGCCCAUACUCCUACGGGAGGCAGCAGUAGGGAAUUUUGCGCAAUGGGGGAAACCCUGACGCCAGCAACGCCGCGUGAUUGAAUAAGCCCUUCGGGGUGUAAAGAUCUGUCAGUAGGGACGAAACUUGACGGUACCUACAGAGGAAGCAUCGGCUAACUCCGUGCCAGCCGCUGC